ensembl:lncRNA
CAUGGUCUACGGUCAUUUCUGUUUCACCAGCAGAUCUGGGUGGCAGCAGAGAGCUGCAGCGCUCCCGAGUGCUGUAAGGACUGCACGGAGAGACGUGCGGGUCUUCACGGGAACAGCAAGGAACCGAAAGCUGCAUUUCCUGGGAUGCCCUGGAACCCCACUUUGCUGACUGGUAAUUGUCUGCCCAGCAGGUGGCAGCAGAGAGCUGCAGCGCUCCCGAGUGCUGUAAGGACUGCACGGAGAGACGUGCGGGUCUUCACGGGAACAGCAAGGAACCGAAAGCUGCAUUUCCUGGGAUGCCCUGGAACCCCACUUUGCUGACUGGUAAUUGUCUGCCCAGCAGGUGGCAGCAGAGAGCUGCAGCGCUCCCGAGUGCUGUAAGGACUGCACGGAGAGACGUGCGGGUCUUCACGGGAACAGCAAGGAACCGAAAGCUGCAUUUCCUGGGAUGCCCUGGAACCCCACUUUGCUGACUGGUAAUUGUCUGCCCAGCAGGUAAGGACAAUGCACACCCACCAGUGUUUACCGCUUACUCAGUGAGACACAAGGUGGAGUUCCCAGAGCUCCUUUCUGCACUUCAGGGUGCCCCGAAGGCUGCCCCGUCCUAUUCUUUGCACGUUCUCCUUGGCUCUGGCCUUUCACCGUGGUGUUCUCCUUCCUUUCCUUCCCUUUGCCCUUGGCGUUCCCUACUGCAUUCUCUUGCCCUCGUGUUUUUGCAUUCCAUGUCAUGUUCUCUUGGCCAUUGCCCUUGACCUUCUUUGCGGCAUUCUUUUUGGCCUCAGGUUUUGGCGUUCCCUGCAGCGUUCUCUUUGGCCAUUACUUCUGGUGUUCCAUGCAGUGUUCUAUUUGGCCUUAGGUUUUUGCCAUCCAUGCCACGUUCUCCUGGUCAUUGCGCUUGGCCUUCUUUGCCACAUUCUCUUUGGCGUUGCCUUCCAUGUUCUCUUUGACCUUUGCCCUUGGCCUUCUUUGCCGUGUUCCUUUCAGCCUCCUGGCAUUCUCUGCGACAAUCUCUUUGGCCUUUGGUUUUGGCAUUCCUUGUUGCGUUCUGUUUGGCCUUUGCCUUUGGCCUUCUUGUUUUGGCAUUCCCUACUGUGUUCUCUUCGGUCUUUGGUUUUGGCCUUCUGUGCUGCAUUCUCUUUGGCCAUUGCUAUUGGCCUCCUGCAUCGGCCUUCCCUGCAGCGUUCUCAUGGACCUCGCCCUCCAUUUUGGCCUUGCCACGGUGUUCUCUUUGGUCUCUGUUUUGUUCUCUGAGGCCCUCUCUUUGGGCCUGCCCUCUGAAGGAGGUCUUUUCUUUGGUGUUCUCCAUACCUUUGCUUUCCCUGUGCCUUUGACGUUGCCUUCCCUUGGGUGUUGUCUCUGCCUUUGCCCUCGGUUUUGGUGUUUCCUUGGGUGUUGUUGCCUUUGCCUUGGCCUUCCCUAACAGUCCCUUUGAGCAUAACCCUAAUAAAGCUAACCCCAAUACCUUCACCCCAACCCUAAUGAGCUCUGAACUCCAAACAUAGUGCUAAUCUGAUGCAAUGCCCUCAGCAAACUUACCAAAGGUGCACUCCAUGCCCUCAGGCAGGUCUUCAAUGAAGAUAUUGGACAGAACAGGCCUGAAGAGCACUCAGGAUGGCAUACCAGCUGCUUUUAACACAAUGGAGCAGCACUCAUUAGGCCAGCCGGUUCAGCUACUUCUUCAUCUAGCAAGCAAUGUACCCGUCCAAGUAGCCGGCUGCAAUCUUUGAGAGAAUUUCAAGGGAUAGCACAUCCAAGGCUUUGCCUCAAUCAUGGGGUUGGGUCACUGCUUUGAGUGUGCUAGCGUGGCUGACCAUAAUCCUGUAACUGACAUCCUGUAGCUGGACAGAGACCAUUUGCACUCCAUCCAGGCUGUUUGAGACUCACGGCCAUGCUGAGAGUCACACUGAUUUCAGCGUGUGCAGUCAUUUUGCAUCAACCCAAUUGGCUUUAGCUUUACAAAUAAUUUGUCUCAACCAAAUUGGCUUUAGCUUUGCAGUUAAUGCAUUGCAAAUAAGUUGGCUUUAGCUUUGCCUUGCUUACGGGGUUGGGUUAGCUUUGCUUUGUUUGUUUGUACCGCAGGGCUAACCCAACCCCGUAACCAACGCCCGAGGCCAUCGGAGCCCAUUUGCGCUCCUUCCCGGCCAGUCUGAGACUCGCGCCCCUUUGUGGCCAUUCUGAGAGUUGCGCCGAUUUUGGCAGGUGCAGUCAAUUGAUCUUGCCCAAAUUGGCUUUAGCUUUGCAAUCAAUUGAUCUUGCCCAAAUUGGCUUUAGCUUUGCAAACAAUUGAUCUCAGCCAAAUUGCCUUUAGCUUUGCCUUGCUUACGGGGUUGGGUUAGCUUUGCUUUGUUUGUUUGUACCGCAGGGCUAACCCAACCCCGUAACCAACGCCCGAGGCCAUCGGAGCCCAUUUGCGCUCCUUCCCGGCCAGUCUGAGACUCGCGCCCCUUUGUGGCCAUUCUGAGAGUUGCGCCGAUUUUGGCAGGUGCAGUCAAUUGAUCUUGCCCAAAUUGGCUUUAGCUUUGCAAUCAAUUGAUCUUGCCCAAAUUGGCUUUAGCUUUGCAAUCAAUUGAUCUCAGCCAAAUUGCCUUAGCUUUGCCUUGCUUACGGGGUUGGGUUAGCUUUGCUUUGUUUGUUUGUACCGCAGGGCUAACCCUAACCCCGUAACCAACUGCCUGAGGCCAUCGGAGCCCAUUUUUGCUUUUUCCUGGCUUGUCUGAGGCUUGCAUUUACUUCAGGUGGGCUGAGAUCUGCUCUACUGUUGAGGUGGGUUGCAGUACAAAAUAUUAGUGUAAAUGUAAUGUUAUUUAUUGGAUGUGGAGGCUUUGUGACCUUUGUCUUGUGAGUCUGACAUAUAACACAUAUGUAAACCAUACCUUAAAAUGUAUGGAGUACGUGGGUGCUGCGUCUGUAAACGGUGUCUUGGAAUUGUAUGGAAUCAGUGUACCUAUGUUUUGUUUGUCAACAUGUAGGCAUUGCUGUAGUGUGCAUACAAUUGUAUGAGUCACAUCUUGAGGAAACAGUG